rnacentral:piRNA from 1 species
UGGUCAUGGUGCGCACUCACGAAGGAUGUA